GAGUCCGGCCGCUGGAGGUGACCGGCGACGGCCCUUGUUUGGCUGUCGUGGGAGUUAUACCUGGCCGGUAAUCGAGUACGUCACCCUGCCCAGGCCUCAUGGGCUACUACUCCCUUUGGGGAGGCCCGAAACGAUGCGAGGCCCGAAAUCGAUCGUCCGACCCACGUAUAGAGGCGAAAGAGUAAUCGAACCAUCUUGUAGCUGGUUCCCUCCGAAGUUUCUCUCCAGCAUAGCUGGCGCUUGUUGCCGAGACCAGUCACACCUGGUAAAGCGAAUGAUUAGAGGCAUUGGGGUCGAAACGACCUCAACCUAUUCUCAAACUUUCAAUGGGUGUGUCGGAGGCCUUCAGGUCUGAGGCCUCCGGAAGCGAUGAGAGCGCCAAGUGGGCCACUUUUGGUAAGCAGAACUGGCGCUGUGGGAUGAACCAAACGCCGGGGUAAGGCGCCCG
rnacentral:ncRNA from 1 species